GACAGAGGGUGCAAACGUUGUUCGGAAUUACUGGGCGUAAAGCGCGUGUAGGCGGCCCUGCAAGUCGGAUGUGAAAUCCCACGGCUCAACCGUGGAAGUGCAUUCGAAACUGCAGGGCUAGAGUCCUGGAGAGGAAGGUGGAAUGCUUGGUGUAGAGGUGAAAUUCGUAGAUAUCGAGCGGAACACCGGUGGCGAAGGCGGCCUUCUGGACAGUGACUGACGCUGAGACACGAAGGCCAGGGGAGCAAACGGG
rnacentral:rRNA from 1 species